UACGGGGGGGGCAAGCGUUGUUCGGAAUUACUGGGCGUAAAGGGUUUGUAGGUGGCUCGCUAAGUCAGACGUGAAAUCCCUCAGCUUAACUGGGGAACUGCGUCUGAGACUGAUGAGCUCGAGUGCAGGAGAGGAACGCGGAAUUCCAGGUGUAGCGGUGAAAUGCGUAGAUAUCUGGAGGAACACCGGUGGCGAAGGCGGCGUUCUGGACUGCAACUGACACUGAGGGACGAAAGCUAGGGGAGCGAAUGGG
rnacentral:rRNA from 1 species